rnacentral:lncRNA from 1 species
GGCCUUUGUGAAUGUAUGCAAGGCAUACCAAGACUUCAGGAAAUUGUGUUGCGGAGGGGGCUACAGGGAGGAUAAAGAUAGAGAAACAAAGUAGCUGUCCCCACUAGAGUAACCUAUGGAUGUCUGCCUAACUCUCACCAGAGACAGAUUAGACAUAGUCAGAGACUGUACAAGUGGCAUCUGACCAUGUGAUUUGGUUGGUGCAGGUGCUUCUCAAGCCCUUGGGUCCCACCCUCAGCGCACGAAGAAGAUGGAUGCACAGCAGAAACGAGAGCCCGGAACAACCCCCACGAGAUCCCAGGAACAGAUCCAUGGAGGACCCAGAAUGUACUGGGAAAGAAAGAAGGCUAUUCGAGCUCACCAGGCCUGCUAAAACGGAGGACCACAGGCUGUCAGUGACAGAAGAAAUCAGUUUCCUCCAGGUCUGGAGGCUGCCAUCCACGGUCAAGAGAGGGCAGGCUGAUGUCUUCGGAGGCCUUCUUUCCUGGGCUUAGCGAUGGCUAUCUCCUUCCUGUGCCUUCCCACUGCCCCCUCAACCCCCACUGUAAAUAUUGUGUCCUAAAUUCCUCUUCUUCUAAAGACACAGUCUUACUGGAUUAAGGCCUCAACGCCCUCUUUUUACUUCACCGCUAUAAAAGCUGAGCCCAGAUAGAAGUCCUGAG